AGUUUCAGUUGAAAUUGAGGUGGAAAUUCCCAUAGAAGCAGGGGAGGAGUCCCCAGCCACAAGCUCACCUCAGGUCAGAUUUUCUUGACCUUGAAGAGCCAGGAAGAACUGGAGGUGAUGAAAGUGAAUCUUCUGGGAAGGAUAGUGAGAUUUCAGUGCCCCUCAUUUCACCUGUUGGGGAAUCUCAGCUGCUUGACAUUGAAGGUACACAAGAUGUUCCUGAAACUGAUGACAUAGCUAAUUUAACCCACAUAAAAGAGCCAUCAGAGGGGUUAGAUGAGGCCGUCAGAUGUUCAAACAGGCAGUGAAGUCGACCAAAGAGACUUCAUUAUGCUGAACUUGGAAACCCUUUAAUAGAGGUGGUUCAGUCACUUUUUCACGGUCUGCGUGCUGCCAUAAUAAAGUCAAUGGAUGCUGCAGAACCGUUAUGGUACGAUCAAACCACCAUCCCUCCUGUCAACCCAGUAACAACACAGCUGCAGAGAAGGUGCACGGGGACGUGCCACCCUUCAGUGGGGGAGGGUGUAACCCUGGAGAGUUACUAAGGGUUUUAGUGUGUUAUGAGCGAUGUUAGUAUUUUGAGUUCACUGUUAAGUUUUAUUAAGUUAAAUUAUUUUGUUGAGAAUUAAUAAAACAGAAGAUGUCUAUAAUGUCCUGAUGGUCCUUGAAGUAUACAGGGGGAAGUACCACCUCCUGCCGUUCACUGCGUAGCAGCUACGGAUAUCAGGAAAAAGGGAGAGGAAGAAAAAGUCUGUUUUUUCCAAGUGGAAAGCGUGGUUGUUUUUAUUCAGUCGGAUUGUACGGUGGAAAUAAACUAGCUGGAAAUUGUUGUUAACCAGAAAGGACUACUUACUGCUCGGAUUCUUCUGGUUGUGCUACAACGCUGCACCAUCGCCAUUUUGAAGCUCCAGGAGAACCCAUUUUGUUGGUUACUUUGGUCAGCUUUUUUUUUUUGGGAGUACAGUUCGGUGAUGAUCCAGUCCAAAGAUGGCGAGCCACCCCUCCAGGAUCCUUGAGAUGAUUGUUUUAAGAAGAGAACUAAAUUCUUCGGACGAGCCGUGAACUGUACAAAUUCUACUUGAGUGGUAGGACAGAUUUGCACCUCAUUCCUCCUUUGCACAUCCUGCAAGGAGAAUCCUCAUUGCUGGACUCACACUUAAGGGUGUUGGCUGACACAAGCGAGAGACUGAGUCAAAUCCCCCGGGGGUGUGUGUGUUUUGUUUAUUAUUUUCCGUGACUUGGGCCCAAUUUUUCCUUUCAUGUACUGUUAUUGUUUUCAUUGUAUGUAUGUGUGAUUCUUUAAUUGUGAAUACAAAUCGAU